rnacentral:SRP_RNA from 1 species
GCCGGGCGUGGUGGCUCAUGCCUGUAAUCCUAGCACUUUGGGAGGCCGAGGCGGGUGGAUCACCUGAGGUCAGGAGUUCAAGACCAGCCUGACCAACAUGGAGAAACCCCGUCUCUA